UACGAAGGGGGCUAGCGUUGUUCGGAUUCACUGGGCGUAAAGGGUGCGUAGGUGGCGAGGUAAGUCGGAUGUGAAAGCUCGGAGCUCAACUCCGAAAUGGCAUUGGAAACUACCUUGCUCGAGGGUUGGAGGGGAGACUGGAAUUCCUGGUGUAGCGGUGAAAUGCGCAGAUAUCAGGAGGAACACCUAUGGCGAAGGCAGCUCGCUGGGACGGUACUGACGCUGAGGCGCGAAAGCGUGGGGAGCGAACAGG
rnacentral:rRNA from 1 species